rnacentral:tRNA from 1 species
GCAUGAUUGGUGUAGUGGUAUCGCGCCAUGUUAGGGUCAUGGAGGUCCUCGGUUCAAUCCCGGGAUCGUGCC